rnacentral:piRNA from 1 species
UGUCACGUAUAAUAUUUUAUUGGGGCUGAC